UGAAUUCCUGUCUGUUUUCUGUUCUUCAUUCUAUGUUAACUAACAAUGCUGGAAUUGCUUCUCUGUGGCCCAUAACGGCUGGGAACAACAAACCAACCUGACUUUGGGGGAUUCUGAAACAUUCCUUGUCAGUUCAUGUUGGAUCUUAGAAGUCCUGAACUGCCUCCUGGGGGGAAAUGCUGUCUUGAAUUUAUUUUAUUUGUAUAGUUAAAAAAGAAAAUAUAAUUACGAAAAUUUACUUUGUGUCUCACCUUUAUUAGCACUGACUUCUGACGUGGAAUUUAUUGUCCUCCAUGACGUACAGACUGUUGGCACUGCCUUUGUGAUUUGAUUGUUCAGUGUGGGAAGAUGAAGAGAACAGGUAUUAUAGAAACAGGCCUCAAUAAGACUUUCCAUGCUUCAAAAACGUGGGUCGUGAGAAAGUUGUCUAUAAAUUACUACAACUUCUGGUACCUGAAAGAACUAUACCCGUUCCCAGAAGACCCCAUAUGGGACCUGCUGGAAAAACCUUGCCUCUCCCCAGCCAUGAAGGCCUGAUGUUGAAUUGAGACUAAAUAGAAUGAAGAAAUGGUGAAUACUUAAAAUCCAUGGAUUUGUAACUCAUAAGAAAAUAAUCUUUAAAGUUACUUAUUCAACAAUCUUUGCACCAUAAUUUACAAGAAGUCUUCAGGUUUUAGAUCUUCAUAGGUGAGUAAAUUUACAGAGUCAUCUGGUCUCGUCACAGAACCACUAAUGUUAAAUCUAUAACCAUGUGGCUGCUUUUACUUGUAUAGGAAACAAAAUUCAGAUUGAAACCCAUGGCCUUGGAAAUCUGCAAUCUGUCCUGACUCAUUCAAGGGAUUUCUGGUGGCUCUCCACCACCCUAUGGGUCUUCACUUGCUCUUAGAGCAGCCUCAGGAAGGGGAGGUACUAAGUCUGCAGACUGCUGCAGCUUCGCUGUGGAUUUAUUAGUUACAGUGAACAGCAAAAUGAGACAGGCAACAGAUUCGUGAAAAGAGGAGACCAUCUCUGCUCUUGUUAGACCUAGAACAUCUUGUGGAAGCUCAUUCGAGAUGGUUCUGGGAUAUAAUAGUUACAUUCAGUAGGUUUUAUAUCAACUUGACAUAACAUAAAUUUCCUCGGAAGAGGGAUCCUCAGUUGAAUUGCUUUGAUCAGAUUGGCUUGUGGCCAUAUCUGUGAGAGCUUGUCUGAGCUGAUGAUUGACAGGGGGCCCUAGCUCACUGGGGGAGGGGCCAUCCAUAAACAUGUGGGUCUGGGAUGUAGAAGAAAGCAAGCAGAGUGCAAGGCAGAGUGUGAUCCAGGAAGCAGCGUCCCUCCAUGACUUCUGAGUUUUGGCCCUGACUUCCCUCAGUGGUUGACUGUGACCCUUGAGUUGUAAGCUAAAAUUAACUUUUCUUCACGAAGGAAAUUUUGUUUUAUCACAGCAGGAGAAACAAGACUAGAACAACAGUGAACUAAGAGCUGCCACUAUCUGAUGCAGUGAACACGGGGGGCAGAGAUAACAGUCUGUAGACUUUAUCCCAAAGGUACAAAUAGUUAAACCUGAAAGGUCUGCUGAAAACAGAGAGUGACCAAGGAAGAGAAGUAUGGAUCACCUGGCUCCCACCAUGGGGCCCCCACAGAGGACGAGGAAGCAGAAGCAAUGUUAAAAGGUAAUCCAGGGAGCCCUGGUCAAGAGAUUAACAGUUCUAACACAGGCUUAGAUCACAUUUCUUACUGUCCUCAAUCAAGCUGGGCCUUUGGACAAGACAGGCACCCUGAUAGCAUGGACAGUCAGUGGAGAAGACCCUCGUUUUGUUAUACUUGUUGCCUUAGGGUGUUAUGGCUGAGAACCAUGUUGAGAGGGAACAUAUUGUUUAAGACUGAACUGGUUAAGGGUGGGAUGACAAGGGACAGUUACAUGCCAGGAAACCGGAAGUCAGCAUUUCCCUUCCCUAUUUAGGAGAAUGUUCACAUGAGGCUGCUGUGGAUUGGGAGAGGGAUGGACCUAGCUACACUGGGACAUUCAACAGACAUGAAGCUUGAGUCAUGAAGGUCUUAUUUAUAAGUUCAUGAUCUCACUUGUUUGCUUUUGAAAGGAUAACUGCAGUGGAGACUGAUGCCCCUCAACAAAAACAAUUGGUAGCUUCAGAAAGGCAUACAGUGUUCCACUCCGGGAUGAAAACUCUAAAGAUACGUGCAGGGGACCUGACUUCAGCUGUCUCACAUGACACAUUCAAUACUGUGAUCAGCAAGAUCAGGAAAACCAAGAGGGGUCUUCUAGUGAUGGAUCUCAGUGUUCUAUCUGCCUGAUCCACACCCAAAUACAUCAGGGAGAGAUCUCAUAGCUUUGAUAUUAGCUGUCACAACAUGUACAAACCGGGAGACUUUUGAGUGAGUGAGAAACUAGCAUGUCUACUAGCUGCAAAGCUUAUGGUUUUUGAAACCUUAUCUUGGUACAGAAAUGAUAGAAGAAAAUGGAGAUAGCAGCACUGCUCAGCAGCUUUGUGAGCCACAACCAGCUCUGGGUACAGCACAGGUUGGAAGAGUCUAAAGAGAAGACCUCCAGUGUCAGCAAGCAGCCUUCCAGCUGGCAGGGUCUGGUGGUCGAGAAUUCAGAAGGAAGCUUCUGCAUUCCCUUGUUUUUGUGUUAGAGUUUUUUUUUUUUUUUUUUUUUGUUGUUGUUGUAUGGUUUUGAUUUUGGUUAAAUUUCCUUUUGCCUUGAAUGUUUUUGCCUUUAUUACAGUCUUUUAUUAUUUGUUUUAUUUUAAUGCAACUCGUGAAGUUUUGGAAUCUUCAUAUAUCUAAGUAAUUUUGCUUAAAGAUUUCUUCUCUGUAAAACAGUUGGUUUUUAUGUGUUCCUCUUUCCUAUAUGUCUAUGAUACCAUCAUAUUCUGCCUACAUUCUUCUUUCCCAUUUCACCUUCCUUGCCAAUUCUUUCUUUUGUGUGAUUAUUAUUUUACUUUAUCUAUGUAAUUUUUUAACUGCAUAGUGCCCUGUACAACAUAUUUCCUCAUGGGUGGUGUAGUAGAGUGCUUGGCUUGACUCUAUUUAGACUGUAUAUCUAAUUUGUUUUGGUUUACUGUUUUUGCUGUCACAGGGAUGGACUUCCCCUCUCUAAGUUGGACCAGAAAUGCACCUCAUCUGGCAAGGCUACUCAUCAGGACAAUUAACAAAUCUGAACUGGGAAAUGACUCAGUAGAGAAAAGCCCUUGUUGAGCAAGCCUGAGGGCCUGCAUUUGAAUCCCCUUAUUUUAUCAUACUCUUUUGUCAUUUUAUUUUAAUCCCUAGAAUCCCCAGAACUCCCAUGAAAAAAUGAACACAUUGGUGUGAGCUUCUACAAUCCUGGCAUUUACGUGGGAAAAUGAGAAUAAGACACACACAUACAAUAUUCAUGCACCCCAGAUGAGAUAUUCAUUCCAAAGACUGCACAAAUCACAACACAGAAGCACAUAAACAUGAAAAACCAAUGCGACGAUCAGAAAUAUGAAAAAUGCUAGUUGGCUACUUUGAAAGUUUUCUUGUGAAAUGAUCUUUGUUUUCAAAGAGGAUACAAAUGAACAGAUGAGUGAGAUAAUACAAGACCUGGAGAAGAAUCAGCCACCUGGGUGAGAAAGCUAGCCACAUGUACACGAAAUCAAUAACGUGAAUGAAAAAGGCUACAAACUGUGUAAGGAACUCAACAAUGAAUUGAGACUUUUCACAAAAAGGUAGAAAUCAGAGAGUACAUCCUAGUUUUCCUCUUUCUCAUUUGUAAUCCCUUGCUCUGUCUUGUUUUCAUGGACAAGCAUGGCUACAUACCCGGAUCAGUUCUUUCUCCUAUCGGAACCCGGAAGUGUGGCAUGUCUAGAAUAACCAGCACAUUUGCCACCCAUUAAGAGAAUGGGAUGAGAUUGGAAACUAAGCAAUGGAACCUCUUGUGCCUUCUCUUGGACAAUUUUCCUUCAGUUGGUUGACAUGUUCAUCUUCAAAGUGAUGAUUUUUGUUUUAUAUAAUUAUAUUUUAUUUUGCUAUUUUUUUUAUAAUGAAUGAGUGAAGGAAUAACAUCUAAGCACUCUGGUAAAUGGUAACGACUGAACUGUCACUUAUAUCUUCUGGGAGAGGGAAAAUCAAAUUUCCUCAGUUGGUUGAUACUGGUGAUUGACCACACCAGGACAUGCCUCAUGUUUAGGAGUAGUUGACCAACAUACAAUGGACUACAUAAUUUGUGUGUGUGUGCUUUUAUUUGGUUGUAGUUUGAUGUUUUGUUUUGUUUUUUCUUUUUGGACUUGGCUUUAUUCUGUUUUCUUUGUUUUGAAGUGAUUUGUUAUAUUGAGUUUUUGUUUAUUUUUUGAGAAAGAACUUAAAAUUGGAUGGGUAGGAAGGAGGCUAAGGUCUAGAAGGAUUUGGGGCAAGGGAAGAAUGUGGUCAAGAUAUAUUUAAAUUUUAAUAUUGAUUUAGAUAACAAAAAUAUAAUAAAAAAGAAAAAUUGUAAAAAAAACUAAUUAAAAUAUUUGCAUUGGGAUAAAAUUCGAAUUCCUUAUUACAAUAAAAGACACACAAACACA